ACAAGUUUAACGGCUACGGUACCCUGACCGUACGAAGGUAGCAUAAUCACUUGUUCCUUAAAUAGGGACCUGUAUCAACGGCAUCACGAGGGCUGCACUGUCUCCUCUCUUCAAUCAGUGAAACUGAUCCUCCCGUGAAGAAGCGGGAAUUUAACUAUAAGACGAGAAGACCCCAUGGAGCUUUAAACAACGUACUCACACUAUAUAAAUAUACCCUUUUACUAGAAGCCCUGAGUACAAGUUUUAGGUUGGGGAGACCGCGGAGAACAACUAAACCUCCGCGACAGACGGCCCAAGCCCUUAUCCACGAGCCACAACUCUAAGAAUCAGAACACUGAUGAUUAUGACCCGAUAAUAUUCGACUAACGAACCAAGUUACCCUGGGGAUAACAGCGCAAUCUACUUCAAGAGUCCAUAUCGACAAGUAGGUUUACGACCUCGAUGUUGGAUCAGGGUAUCCCUGUGGUGCAGCAGCUACUAACGGUUCGUUUGUUCAACGAUUAAAACCCUACGUGAUCUGA
rnacentral:rRNA from 1 species